GAAGGAACGCAGAAGACGAAACGCGAAGGAGAAGAAGAAAGGAGAAGAAAAAAAAAAAAGGAAGAAAAAGAUUUAGCCGUCCGAUUCCAAUUCCGACUUGGGUAGCUCCUGAGAAUAAGCAUAAAGCUCAUCUGAUUUGAGUAAAUAAUGGGACAGGUGUACGUUGGAGGAGAUUUGGGUGAAGUUAUAAAAAUCCAGAAAGUAUCGGUAGGAGGAAAAAUUGGGGGCAGUAUGUCGAAUUCUCGAGGUGGUGGUGUACGUAGGGCUAUUCAAGGCCCAGAGUUUGAUCCUUCGUCUGAUGAGUCACAGUAUCCUGUGCCAGCGCAUGUACCAACAGAGGCACCUAGCCAGGAUUUCUUUCGGCAGUUUAUGGCCGCGAUGAUGCCUCAACAGAGGAGUUUCAUUGAUGCUGUGAUGCGGCAUAACCCACCAACAUAUUCUGGUUCAGUGGAGCCAGGAGUCCUUGAGUUUUGGGUUGAAAAGAUGGAAAAGAUAUUUCGUGUUGUUCAGGUUCCGUCAGAUCAACGAGUUAAUAUUGGAGCCUAUUUCUUGGAAGGCCGAGCAAAUCGGUGGUGGUUAGGUGAAGAAGCUGCAGGUGUAGACCAGGUGGAUAUGACUUGGGAUGAAUUUAAAGCAAAGUUAAAAGCUAGGUUUAUACCGUCGCAUAUUCGAAAAGCGAAGAAGCAAGAAUUGCUGGACUUAAAGCAGGGCUCGAUGUCAGUUGAGGAUUAUUUUGUGAAGUUUAAUGAGUUGAAGAUGUAUGUUCCUGACUACUUUUCCUGUGAGCGAGACAGAAUUGACCAUUUUGUAGACGGGUUGCAACACAGAAUUCAAGAAGCUUUAGCGGUGUUGGAUAUCAGUUCAUUGUAUGAGGCUUACGAGCGUGCUGCCCGAUUUUAUCAGAAGCAGGAAGUCAGACAAAAGGAGAGUGAGAAGGAAAUAGGUUAUCAACAUCAGGUUCGAGAUAAGGGAAAAGCUAAAGUGGAGGAUGAGCCCAAGGGUAAAAAGAAAUGGUGGCAAAUGUUCAGGUCUGGGCCAUCGUAUAAGGGGAUUUCGAUUAAUGAACCGAGUCAGGAGAGGUCUCAGCAAUCGGGGGCUGUUUGUCGGCGUUGUGGAACAAACCACCCAGGUACUCGUUGUGAUAAAGUUCCAUUGACAUGUUUUAAAUGUGGUGGUAGUGGUCACAUUGCCAGGUUAUGUCCAAGUGUGGUAACUGCAAGGGAGUUUCCAUAACCGAGGUUUAGGCCAUGGCAGCCGCCGUCUUCGCAGUCACAAGGGAGAGGAUUAGGAUCAUCUUGGCGAGAGGGACGAAGUCAGUCACGUUCGUCAUCUAGGCAGCCAGGCAGAGGACCUGACCAGCGUGGACGAAUAAAUGUUCUUACCCAAGCAGAAGCUGAUUAUCAUCCAGGUACGCAUGGCACCUCCGGGACAGGGGACGUCUCGGGAGAUAGAAAGACGGGCUGAAUGAGUGAACUGCAUCUGAUGUAUUAUAUGUAAAUUCUAACUAGAAAAACCUCCCGUUUUGGGAGUAUGUUUUUGUAAAUAUUUAUAAACUAUUUUUUUUUGGGAAUAAUAAAAUGCUUAUAUAAUUAAUUUUAGCCUUAACACUGUGUUGUGGGGCCCGAAGUAGGAGGUGACGACCUCAUGAUGCAGUGUGGCGGUAGCAUUUCCAGUAUGAGCCAACUGGGGGUGUUACAUAUAUUGAUUGUUACUCAUAUACCACUGCUCCCAUGGAAUGAUUGGUUAUUUAGACCUAUUACCUAGUAAUACACACCGUAACACACAAACCAAUCUUCGGUCCACUAGGGUUGAGAGAAGAAGUGCACUCACCGAAUUUCCGCAUUGGACCCUAUGUGUAGGAUUGACUUAAAUAAAUUACAUUCGAGGAUACCUGGUACUACAAAUCUAAUGCUUAUGAAAUCAUUAUUUAUACCUCUUAUAUCGAGGUUUGUACUUGGAUCACAUGGCUACAUACUGAAAUAAUAAAUGUAGAUGCCCUAGAUAAGAUAUUAUGUACCUACAAUAACAAUAAAAUAUACUUCAAUUACGAUUGCAUAUGCCCUGGUAACCUAUGGCUGGAGAACUGAUCUUUUCACUUGAAAUAUUCACUUAAUGACGGUAAUCAUGAAUGAGUUCAACCAUGGUAAUGUUUCCCGCGACACCCCAAAGUGUAUGAAAAGAUAAACAACACAUAUUUACUAUUGAUGGUUAAACAAUUCAUAAAUAACUAGUUAAGUUGUAUGAUAUAUGUAUAAUCAUAUACCUUCACUUGUAGAUGGCUAAAUAAGUCAUAAGUGAGUAAAUUUAAUUAUGUUGGUUGUUAGUAUAAAUGAUUGUUUUCAUAAAUUGAAAAUUGUUAAACCUAUUACGUAUUAAUCUACACCGUUCCAUACACAACAACAUUCGGUGAGGGGCAUACUUGCAUAGUGCAUGACUCAGCUAGGUGGGCAAGUGCUCCAGAGCGGAUCUUCCAUACCCCCAAACUCGCAUGGUGUACAAAAUCUUAGUACUUGUACCUCCUGCAGUCUUGCGUGUAACUGAACAGCUAAUCUUAUGCCAGGUCUUUGAAUUAUGUACCUUCAUAGCUCCAUUUUAGUGCCAGUGAGGAGUUAGGAUAUUGAUAGAUUCCAAAAUAGAUUAAGUCUUAAUCCUCAUAUGUAUGUUUUUAAUGGAUGUGACAUGAUGCAACACAGUAUGUUCGUGUACUUUAUGCCACAGAGAUCAUUACUUAUCAAGACCACGCUAACAUUGUUGGAUAGUAGUACACUACUAUUAGACGUGCUUCGAGAGAUCAACUAAAUACCCCCAGAUAAUUCAUGUGCUUGUGUUCAUUUAUUUGAAACCUGUGUCAUUGAAUUAUCAUACACAAACGAGAACUGUCACAUACCCAUUGUUUUUGUUCUUGUUCAUGUAUCAUCAAAACAUCCAAAUUAUAACAGCAGUUCUAUACAACUGGAAUCUUGCUAUUGUAUAUUUACUUACCUCAUUACAUUGUAUCAAUCAUGCCAAAGGUAAUUACACACCAAAAAGGACGUUCAGGACAAAAACAAAAAUUAUACCUCAAAAGGCCUACGGUACUGCAGCUUUACACAUGUUUCUAUUGAGCCCGAAAACCACAAGGAUCACAUUUUCGUGAAUUUUUUAUCUGCUGGAAGUCAUGCGUCAUUUCUUUUGACGGUCUGGUUGCACAAAUGAAAUAGGAGAUACCCAUUCUACUAUACUGAGUAUGUAUAAUAAAAUAACAACAUACAUGUACCCAAUCGUGCAUCAGAGAGGGAUAUUUUGUUGCUCAUUCAUGGACCGUGCAUUUAUGUCCACAAAAAAUUUGAGUGAUAAUUCACUACUAUGCCAACGUGCAUUGAGACAUCAACUAAAUACUCUCCCAAAUAAUUUGUGUACCCCUAUUACAUUUUCAGAAACUUGUGUCAUCAAACUAUCAUACAUAAAAAGGACUAUCACAUGCCCAUUAUUUGUGUUCAUAUACAAUAGUACAUCCAAAUUACAAUUUUGGUUCUAUCCAACCAGGCUAUUUUUGUUGUAUUUUUACCUACAUCAUUACACUAUAUCCAACACGUCAAAAGUAAUUAAAUGCUAAAAGUGACAUCCUAGACAAAAAAUAUAUAUAUACACUUUUAAAAGGUCUAUGAUACCUGCUCUUUACAACUUCUUCUUGUGUUCGAGACGGCUACAACGAAUCUUAGACAAAACAAAUAUCGAAUCAUUAGCUUACUUAUACUAAGUGGUCUGCAAAAGGUUUAUGGCUAAAGGG